UCAUCAAACAGAUCUGACAAUAUUUCAUUAGUUACUCCCUCAGUUACUAUGGUAGAUUAGCACCCCCUACUGGCGUACUGUGGCGAGUGAAGUGAGUGUGGGAGUGGCACGAUUUUAUUCAUGUUGGAGAGAAACACAGACCAACACCGGGCAGCCGAUAGCUCCUAUGCAGGAAAGUUGAUAAAAGACGGUUAUCACUUGGAAAAAGUGGAAAGAGUAACAAGUGAAUCGACAUAAAAGAGAGAUUAGAGUGUGUCGCAACAGCUACGGAGCAGCCGACUCAAGUGGCAUUUAUAUUGAGAACCCCGGUGAGUUAGCUGUUAGCUAAAUAGCCACAGAAGCCACGGAGCUGCCGGCUCAAACCGGCGUUUGUAUUUAACUGACUUAGUUAGCUAGCUGGCUAAACACAGAAGCCACGGAGCUGCCGACCCCUUGAGCAUUCAGGUUGUUUUGUUUUUUUUCGUUGAGAACUUAUUCCAGACUGAACUGUGUGGCUCGAGUUGCCAUCACCCCAAUGCCUCCUGGAUUUCUACCUCCCUCAUCACCACCUUCUCACCCUUUGCAGGAUCUUCAUCAUUCCUCAUAUCUCACCAUCUUCAUCAUCUUCAUCCUGAGAACAAGAACAGUUUUCCUAACCCUGGGUGGAGACAGAUAUCAGAGCACUAUUGCUCUUUCUUGACGGGAAAGAAGUUCCCCCAAUUUCAUCAAGAAACUGGCAAGAAUCUCCUCUGGCAGAUCAGCAGUCAUCAAUCAUGAAACUGACAUGAUUCACAGAGCUACAGUACGACCUGCUCAGCAGGGUUGCCAACACGUUGAGCCCCACCAGGCAUAAGAUCGAACAGGAAAACAUCCAUCCCACUGUGUCAUGAUCUGUUAGCGUGGCUCUACCCUCCUAAGAUGUGAACGGCAUAGCGAUGACAACCUGCCAAGGCCAGAUUUUAGCCCCUCUAUAACAUCAGAGAGGAAGAGGAGAAGGACAAGUAAGCAUAGCUGAACAUGUGGACAAGGUCUCAUCAACCUUUCAAGACCAUCCAUCAAUAACAAUCUCACCAGCUCAAAUACUAAAGAGGGCUUUUGUCAAUAACAUCUUUAACUUACUGUCUGCAUGGGUCAGAGGUCUCAUUGUCAGACAUGAAGACACCGUGAUGAUAUAGAAAAUUGAUUACUUUAAGCAAAGGAAAAGAGUUAUCAAAGUUAUAAAAGACAAUGGAAGGAGACAUCUUUUAGUACAAAAAAACCCAUAAUAUUUACUUCGCUUUUAUUGUUUGUCAGUGAUAUUGUACUUGUCCCAUUGAUAUAGAUCUUCCCUUUGACCUACACUGUGAUCUAAUAAAGCCAGGUAUAUAGAUAAAAA